GGCUCAGGUUGGUGACCAAGCGGCAAAGUUCCUAGCGCCUGUAGUGUGAACUCCAACUUUUAGGCCAAGUUGAAAAUGCAGCCGACGGCCCCCACACUUCUAACUUCAGAAACAGAACUUCAUGACCCUAGGGAGUGAGGAGGAGAGUGAAAAAUGCAUAAGUGCUGGCUCCUCCCUUACCCUUCGCUGCCUCGCAGCCUUGUUUCUAUAUUCUCACCGGGAGCUUUGGACUUUGAAAGGAUGAGGAGAAUGGGGGAGAGGAAGAGCGUGGCUUUGCCAGCUCCCUGCAGCAAUACAGCAACUUAGAAAUGGCGAGGUCAACGAAAAAAACCCGAAUAAGAGCUGUGAUGGGAACGUUGCCCAGGUGAGAAGCAGAAGCGCGAUAAGUAAUCCACCAAAACAUGAGCAGUUGUGUACUAUAUCUUGAAGAGGAGAGAGGGAAAGAUGUCAAUG